CAUGGCAAAUGAUGAUAUUUUUGUUUACACUGAAUAAUCAUGUGGAUUAUAAACUCCGCUUAUUAUCUGAUGCUAUC
rfam:Nicotiana attenuata strain TT chromosome 11, whole genome shotgun sequence.